GAUGCUGUAGCUUAGCUGGCUAAAGCACCUGCCUAGUAAAUAAGAGAUCCUGGGUUCAAAUCCCAGUGGGGCCU
rnacentral:tRNA from 1 species